rnacentral:rRNA from 1 species
AGUAACGCGUGAGUAACCUGCCUUACACAAGGGGAUAGCCGUUGGAAACGACGAAUAAUACCCUAUGAAACUAUCACUUCGUAUGAAGCGAUAGUCAAAGUGUUAGCGGUGUAAGAUGGACUUGCGUCUGAUUAGCUAGUUGGUGAGAAAAAAGCACACCAAGGCAACGAUCAGUAGCCGGCUUGAGAGAGUGUACGGCCACAUUGGGACUGAGACACGGCCCAG